rnacentral:rRNA from 1 species
GAUUAUGGCUCAGGAUGAACGCUAGCGGCAGGCUUAACACAUGCAAGUCGAGGGGCAACGCGAGUAGCAAUACUUGGCGGCGACCGGCGCAAGGGUGCGUAACGCGUGAGCAACAUGCCCGUAUCAGGGGGAUAAUCCAGGGAAACUUGGUCUAAUACCCCAUAGUAAUUUUGUAAGGCAUCUUAUAAGAUUUAAAGCUUUGGUGGAUACGGAUUGGCUCGCGUGACAUUAGCUGGAUGGUAAGGUAACGGCUUACCAUGGCUAUGAUGUCUAGGGGUUCUGAGAGGAAGGUCCCCCACACUGGAACUGAGACACGGUCCAGACUCCUACGGGAGGCAGCAGUGAGGAAUAUUGGACAAUGGAUGGAAAUCUGAUCCAGCCAUGCCGCGUGAAGGAAAGAAGGUCCUAUGGAUUGUAAACUUCUUUUGUAUGGGAGCAAUAAGGCCUACGUGUAGGUUGAUGAGAGUACCAUACGAAUAAGCACCGGCUAACUCCGUGCCAGCAGCGGC